rnacentral:rRNA from 1 species
AGCGUAGGCGGAAGAGCAAGUCUGAUGUGAAAGGCUGGGGCUUAACCCCAGGACUGCAUUGGAAACUGUUUUUCUUGAGUGCCGGAGAGGUAAGCGGAAUUCCUAGUGUAGCGGUGAAAUGCGUAGAUAUUAGGAGGAACACCGGAGGCGAAAGCGGCUCUCUGGCCUGUAACUGACACUGAGGCUCGAAAGCGUGGGGAGCAAACA